rnacentral:lncRNA from 1 species
UGCCUCCCGGCCGCCGUAGGCGAAGGUUCGCGGAAGAGGGGAGCAGGCGCUCACCUGAGCUGACUCAGAAAUUGGAAUGAGUUGUCUGUGGAUCCUGUAAGGAGCCUGGACAUGGUGAAGAGAAUGCCUUGACCAUCAGGAGACAGCUUAGCUUGUUGAAUCUUGAUCACUUCUUCUGACCGCUUUGGAUCUUAAAAGAACAAGGUGAGACACACCUCAAAUGACAGAAUCCCACAUCAAGCUUUCUCUCCUGGGGAGUUAACCCCCCUGGGGCUAACCCUUCACAAAGGCGGGAUGGAAGCCAGUGGAAAAGUACCCAGCUUUUCCUCCUUUACCUACUGUUCAGAGAUCCCAGAAGAAUCAAACCCUGGUGUCUGCAGCAGUGAGCCUGUGUGUUUCCUUAUCUCGGCUUUUCCUCCUUCUCUGGAUCAUCUCCCAAACAAGCAAAUCAUGCAUCUAAGUCCUUGUACUUAGGCUCUGCUUCUGGGGAGACGCAAAAUAAAACAGUUAAAAAAAAUUUCCCCCGAGUUAAUUUGCUUUUGCUUUCUCCUUUCCCAGAUCUUAUCUAUUUUUAUUGUUUUGGAGUAAGUAUGAAAAUGUAUUCUUUUGGCUG